rnacentral:rRNA from 1 species
AUUGAACGCUGGCGGCAGGCCUAACACAUGCAAGUCGAGCGGAUGAAGGGAGCUUGCUCCUGGAUUCAGCGGCGGACGGGUGGGUAAUGCCUAGGAAUCUGCCUGGUAGUGGGGGAUAACGUCCGGAAACGGGCGCUAAUACCGCAUACGUCCUGAGGGAGAAAGUGGGGGAUCUUCGGACCUCACGCUAUCAGAUGAGCCUAGGUCGGAUUAGCUAGUUGGUGGGGUAAAGGCCUACCAAGGCGACGAUCCGUAACUGGUCUGAGAGGAUGAUCAGUCACACUGGAACUGAGACACGGUCCAGACUCCUACGGGAGGCAGCAGUGGGGAAUAUUGGACAAUGGGCGAAAGCCUGAUCCAGCCAUGCCGCGUGUGUGAAGAAGGUCUUCGGAUUGUAAAGCACUUUAAGUUGGGAGGAAGGGCAGUAAGUUAAUACCUUGCUGUUUUGACGUUACCAACAGAAUAAGCACCGGCCAACUUCGUG